AUCUCUGUAGAGUCUGCAUAUCAAUAAGCGGAGGAAAAGAAACUAACUAGGAUUCCCUCAGUAACGGCGAGUGAAGCGGGAAGAGCUCAAAUUUGAAAUCUUCAAGGUUUUACCUUGACGAAUUGUAGUUUAAAGAAGUGUUUUCUGUUGGAGUUUUGGUAAAAGUUCUUUGGAAUAGGACAUCAUAGAGGGUGAGAAUCCCGUAUUUGACCAUUAUUUCCAGCUUUGUGAUACACUUUCAACGAGUCGGAUUGUUUGGGAAUAGCAGUCCAAAAUGGGUGGUAAAUUUCAUCUAAAGCUAAAUACUGGCGAGAGACCGAUAGCGAACAAGUACCGUGAGGGAAAGAUGAAAAGGAACUUUGAAAAGAGAGUUAAACAGUACGUGAAAUUGUCAAAAGGGAAGCGUUUGACACCAGUGUUGUUUUCUCGAAAAUCAAUUAAAAAUGGCAGGAUUUUGUGUUGUAUUGACUUUAUCAGCUUUCUGCACUUUUUUCCUGUCUUUUUUAAUGCACUUUUCGUUUAACAAGUCAACAUCAAUUUCUUUUGUUGUAAAAGGGUCAUUGGAAGGUGGCUUUCUUUUCGGAGAAAGUGUUUAUAGCCUUUGGCCUCUGCAAUCGGAGAGAUUGAGGUCUGCAGCGUAGAUCCUUCGGGGUUAGAUACAUUUGUGCUAAGUUAUAGCCUUUCAUAGACAACUUGUUGACUAUGAUCAGUCAUGUAGCUUACUCGCUUAUGCUAUUUUACCUACGCUUAGGAUGUUGAGUCAUCACACAUCUCU
rnacentral:rRNA from 1 species